CCCAAAACACCUUGGUUCGCCACACCCACACGGGCACCCAGCAGUGAUAAAUAUUAAGCAAUGAGUGAAAGCCAAUCUAAGCUCGACUUAGUUAUGAUCACCAGGGCCGGUAAACCUCGUGCCAGCCACCGCGGUUAUACGAGGGGCCCAAAACAACAGAUACCGGCGUAAAUUGUGACUAGAGCACCUACUUAUGGGAAAUAAACAAAAGCCCGCCCGUAAAACCUGGGCCAAAAGAAACACACCUUCCCAAUUAUAAAGUAACUUGAACCCACGAAGACUAAGAAACAAACUAGGAUUAGAUACCCUACUAUGCUUAGUUGUUAACACGACACCAAAAAACACCGGUGUCCGCCAGAGAAUUACACGCGAAAAGCUUAAAACUCAAAGGACUUGGCGGUGCUCCGUAUUCGUCUUAGAGGAGCCUGUCCUAUAAUCGAUAACCCACGCUUUACCUUACCAUCUUUUGUUUAAAUCAGCCUAUAUACCGCCGUCGCAAACUUACCCCAUGAGGGCACAACAGUAAGUAAAAUAGUAACACACUAACACGUCAGGUCAAGGUGUAGCUAAUAAGAUGGAAGAGAUGGGCUACAUUUUCUAAAACAGAACACACGGCAAAGGACAUUGAAAUAA
rnacentral:rRNA from 1 species